rnacentral:rRNA from 1 species
AGAGUUUGAUCCUGGCUCAGGACGAACGUUGGCGGCGUGCCUAAUACAUGCAAGUCGAACGAAGUCGCCCAAUUGAUUCUUAGUGCUUGCACUAAGAUGAUUUUGGAUCCGACUGAGUGGCGAACUGGUGAGUAACACGUGGGUAACCUGCCCAGAAGAAGGGGAUAACACCUGGAAACAGAUGCUAAUACCGUAUAACAACAAGAACCACAUGGUUCUUGUUUGAAAGCUGGCCUUUGUGCUAGUGCUUCUGGAUGGACCCGCGGCGUAUUAGCUAGUUGGUGAGAUAAUAGCUCACCAAGGCAAUGAUACGUAGCAGACCUGAGAGGGUAAUCUGCCACAAUGGGACUGAGACACGGCCCAUACUCCUACGGGAGGCAGCAGUAGGGAAUCUUCCACAAUGGACGAAAGUCUGAUGGAGCAACGCCGCGUGAGUGAAGAAGGUUUUCGGAUCGUAAAGCUCUGUUGUAAGAGAAGAACGAGUGUGAGAGUGGAAAGUUCACACUGUGACGGUAUCUUACCAGAAAGGGACGGCUAACUACGUGCCAGCAGCCGCGGUAAUACGUAGGUCCCGAGCGUUGUCCGGAUUUAUUGGGCGUAAAGCGAGCGCAGGCGGUUAGAUAAGUCUGAAGUUAAAGGCUGUGGCUUAACCAUAGUACGCUUUGGAAACUGUUUAACUUGAGUGCAAGAGGGGAGAGUGGAAUUCCAUGUGUAGCGGUGAAAUGCGUAGAUAUAUGGAAGAACACCUGUGGCGAAAGCGGCAUACCAGCUUGUUAUUGACACUGAGGCACGAAAGCGUGGGGAGCAAAUAGGAUUAGAUACCCUAGUAGUCCACGCCGUAAACGUUGAGUAUUAGGUGUCGGUCAUUGGACCGGUGCCGCAGCUAACGCAUUAAAUACUCCGCCUGAGUAGUAUGCUCGCAAGAGUGAAACUCAAAGGAAUUGACGGGGACCCGC